UAAACGGAGGGGGUCAGGAAGAGCAGUUCCGCACGAGGAUUGGCAGCGGAGUGUCCCAUGGAAACCGAACCCGGAGCUGCGGCCAGGACUAGCACGGGGGCGGGGCAGGGCCUGUCCAAGGCGCAUGCGCGAAACUGACUUCUCGGCGCCAUUUUGUCUGGGCAGAGGUGGCCGCAGGUCUAUCGCAUUUCAUGUUUCUGGCGUGAGGACAGCGAAGUCUUUCUAUUGUAGAUGCUUUUCGGCGCGGUACCCAUCCGCGGCUCUCUCCAGGGCAGCACCUAGUGAAGGUCGGAGGAGUCGCGAGUCUGUUUAAAAGGCUACACUAUGCUGCUGAACUUUGCCGGGGGUAAUGGCCUCUAAUUUCGCUACACAACUUCCAGCUGUUACUCUCCAAAUACCAUAUCAGUGGGCAUUUGGAAAUUACUAAAAAGCCAAAAGAAGAACACCACAGUCUUCGUAUUCCCUCCACCAAAAGAAAACAUUGGAAACAAAAUAUUUUGUCCUUAAAGCAUUUUUAUGGCCGCAUAGUGUUCUACAAGUGAACUUCAUUCAUUUCGUGGAAAAAUGAAGGAGAUAUUCCAGUUUUUAAAUACCUAAGAUUUGUUACCUGUUGAAAAUUAUGUUUCUGGUCCCUUUAUGAAUGAUAAACCAAAAGCAAACAGAUUACCAGAUAAGUGCUUUUAUAGUUUAGUUACAUUUUAUUAUUUGUAAUCUCUAACCCAAAACUUGAUUCUUUAAAACAUUUUUCAUUUUUCUUUUUUCAGGUACCAGCAUCAAGGUUUACAGUAAUCAAGGUACUCAGUCUUUUCUGAAAAUAAAUUUGUAGUCUUGUACAAAGUAAAAUAUACAAGACUUUCUUUCCUCAGAGGCUAAUCUAUCUCAACCGUGCAUUUACAUAGUGACCCUACAAUUGAACCUAGAUUAUUGAACCUAUAUAAAUAUAUGUAUGAAACUCGGUUGUUUUCCUUCCGUAAAUAGCUGAAGAGCUGGGUGUACCUGCUUAAGUAUUUUUAGAUUUGUUUGUUAUGGCAUCUAUACUAUUUUUCAGGUGGCUUAGCUGUUCAAAUUUAGGUUUCUUUAGAAUUACUCUUUUAAAAAAGGUUUUUAGCUAUACUGAUAUGAAUAAGAACACAUGUACUCACAAGUACAGUAGUAAUAGGAGAUCCUUAUACUGUACUUACUUCGGAAGUUUGGAAAAAUAAAGAAUGGCUAUAGAUUGGCUUGGGGAUAGUCAGCUUUUAUUGUCUCUCUCACUAAAUCCAAUUUAAUACUGUCUAGAUGUUUUGCCAAGGCCAACAGUGGUGUCAUUCUGAAUUAAAUGUAUGAGUUGUAAAAUUAACAAAUAAUUUUAUAUAAAAGAAGCCAUGGCAGUGACAUUGGUUUUGGCUUGUUUGUAUAGUAGUUAGCUAUUCAAGUAUAAUGAUUUGCUAUUUGAACUACACAGAUGUUCAAGGUCCAGCAGUACCCUGCUGCUAAACUCCGUGACUAGAUUCCUACCUAGGAAAGUAUGACAGUUGAAUGGAGUGAUACUGGCAUGAGCCCAAUAAAAGGUGUGUACAUCUGGAUACUUGGCCUGAGUGAGUUCACCUUGUUUCUUCCUGCUGUCAAUGCUACUGUUCAGGUUAUGACAAUUGUUCUUACAGGUCACGAUUCUGACUAUUCCUCAGUAACGAUUCUGCUUACAGAGCACUUCCACAAAUAUUCUCAUUUAUUUUUUGGCAUAAAAUAAGUAUUUUUAUAUUAACUUCACAGAUUGAGAAAUUUCUUACGUGGGUACGUAAAUCCACUCCAAUACAUUCUUGACUCUCCUGAAACAUCUUUCUUGUGUGUGUACACCUAGAGGUUAAAAGUGGCUGAUGACCAACAGCCAUUUCACUAAAUA